UAGGGAAUCUUCGGCAAUGGACGAAAGUCUGACCGAGCAACGCCGCGUGAGUGAAGAAGGUUUUCGGAUCGUAAAACUCUGUUGUUAGAGAAGAACAAGGACGUUAGUAACUGAACGUCCCCUGACGGUAUCUAACCAGAAAGCCACGGCUAACUACGUGCCAGCAGCCGCGGUAAUACGUAGGUGGCAAGCGUUGUCCGGAUUUAUUGGGCGUAAAGCGAGCGCAGGCGGUUUCUUAAGUCUGAUGUGAAAGCCCCCGGCUCAACCGGGGAGGGUCAUUGGAAACUGGGCGACUUGAGUGCAGAAGAGGAGAGUGGAAUUCCAUGUGUAGCGGUGAAAUGCGUAGAUAUAUGGAGGAACACCAGUGGCGAAGGCGGCUCACUGGUCUGUAACUGACGCUGAGGCUCGAAAGCGUGGGGAGCAAACAGG
rnacentral:rRNA from 1 species